GUGUUGCUACAAGACCACAGCGAAGGCUUACCCCCCAUCUCCCCCCCAAUCUCCCCUCCCUCUCUCUCUCUUCUCUCUCAUAUUGAGGGAAUUGGUCUGGAUGUGCUUAUUGGAGCGUGUGCCACGCGGGCAGGGCUGUGCGUUUAUCUAUGGAGCCAGUGGUUGAGCUGCUGGCCGCACACAGCAGUCAGGAUGCACAAAACUGAGCGGACAAUGACCUUCAAUAGCUUUAAAAUGGCUUUGUUGCCCAGUUCACCUCUCUCUCUCUCUCUCUCUCUCUCUCUCUCUCUCUCUCUCACACACACACACACACACAAACACACACACAUACACACACGCAUACACAGAGAGGGGUGAGGGAGAGCUGGAGAGAGCUAAUACAGAGUGACAGGUCUUUCAUGCAGUAAUGGUGAUGGUGAAAAAAGAGAUCCACUCAACCCACACUGCCACACACACACACACUGCCACACACACACACACACACAUACACACACAUACAGAGACAAACAAAAGAUACGGACAGAAGCUAAUACACGCACACAUGCACAGGCCUGCACACACACACACAGUGAAAAGCAUAUUAUUACAGAAAAGUGGCCACACAACAACCACAAGUCACAAUUUAAUCUCAGUUGUUUACACCAGCAGUCAGGCUUCAUUCAAGAGACGCUCACACACACACACACAGGAAACCCACAGUCCUGGAAGUCAAACAGCAGAGUGCUCACGCUUUUUAGUUUUAUUGACCUGUGGAUGUUUGAUGUUGGACUUCCUAAUGUAACACCUCUCACUCUAACUCUCUGUCUCUUACACACUAAUACACACACACAAUAUUAUUUACUAGUCUCAUCUUUGGCAUCUUGCUCUCACAUUCCAUUUAGUUCUGGAUUAAAUGUCAGAUAGGAAUCAUAGUUUUAUGUGAUACAUUUGUGUUUUGCAAAAAGUCUGAUUUCAGAUUGUAUUUUGUCUCAGUUUAAUUUUUCCCUUGUUGCUCCAAAUUUAUUAUUAGUUCACCAACAUGACUCACUACCUCACUCUACUCUCUUUCUGACCUUGACCAAAACCAGGAACACAUUUUUAAUGAUAUAAUUCCUGAAGAUAUUUAUCUAACACAGACCAGGAAGUUACUAUAUAUUACAAUUUAAUCUAACAUUUUUAUGGUAUUUUUGAGUCUCAGGCUGGUUAUGAUAAACAACUACUAAUCUUCAUGCAUAUGCAAACACAUAUGCCAACCAACAAAGUCACGCAAAUGCAUACACAUACAACACUCUGAUCAAUUGUUGCCCUCAGGCUGUGGUGGCUUGCCGUGACUGAGGAGGGAGCCUGGUUAACACCCAGUGGUUCACCGCAGUGCAGUGUGCAUUCAAUUACAAUGGGUUCCCUCCAGAAAAACACUUUUUAUGUAUCAUAUUAAGUGCAUGCUGGGCUCAUAUCACUACUAUUCACGUCAAAAUGAGGGCGUAAUUUUCAAUUCUAUCCUUAUUAUACAAACCGUUUAAUAGCAAAACUGACAAAUUAAAUAGAAAACAUAUUUGGAACAUUCAACAACAAAAAAUAUUUGGAUGUAAAUUCAGAAGCAGAUAAACAGAGGGGGCAAACGAGGUGAAAUUAACCCAUGUUGAAAGUUUUAUUCAUGUUUAGAGGAAAGCGAAUGACAGAUGUCCACACUUUCAGAAACAGUGAUCUUAUCACAAUUGCUAUUGAAUUAUAUAACUCAAGAUUAUACAGCAUUAUUUCCAUUAAAGCACUGAAAAGCAUUUGUUUAACUCGUUUUUUCUUUACAAAGAUGGUCAUGUGCAAGAAGUCUAGGCUUUAUGCAGAAGCAAGCACAGCUACACCCUUUUAUGUAAUCAUGUAGAGGCAAAGGAAAAAAAGCUGGGGGUAGAGAGGGAAAAACAAAGAGGAUUUUAGUGACGUAAAGGAAGAAACAGGAAAUCUUCUCAGCUGUCCACAGUCACAACAGUCAUAAUGGGGUUAGCAGUAGUCUAAAGGUUAGAGAGGUGGAUUUUAACCAGAUUGGUUGGGAAAAUC